rnacentral:rRNA from 1 species
UAGGGAAUCUUCCACAAUGGACGCAAGUCUGAUGGAGCAACGCCGCGUGAGUGAAGAAGGUCUUCGGAUCGUAAAGCUCUGUUGUUGGUGAAGAAGGAUAGAGGCAGUAACUGGUCUUUAUUUGACGGUAAUCAACCAGAAAGUCACGGCUAACUACGUCAGCAGCCGCGGUAAUACGUAGGUGGCAAGCGUUGUCCGGAUUUAUUGGGCGUAAAGCGAGCGCAGGCGGAAUGAUAAGUCUGAUGUGAAAGCCCACGGCUCAACCGUGGAACUGCAUCGGAAACUGUCAUUCUUGAGUGCAGAAGAGGAGAGUGGAACUCCAUGUGUAGCGGUGGAAUGCGUAGAUAUAUGGAAGAANACCAGUGGCGAAGGCGGCUCUCUGGUCUGCAACUGACGCUGAGGCUCGAAAGCAUGGGUAGCGAACAGGAUUAGAUACCCUGGUAGUCCAUGCCGUAAACGAU